GCUCCCCGCCGCGCGCCGCCGAGCCACGCCCCCGGCCCGACCAAUGACCUCACGACAGGCGCAGCGAUCCCCCGCAGAUCGCUCAUUGGCCGAGCCUCCCGCUUGUAAUAGUGGCGAUACCGCCCCUCGAGCAGAGGGAAAGCCCCCCGGGGAUUCACCGAGCACAAGAUGGCGGUGCUGGCCGCCCGCCAGAGCCCAGGCGGGGCUGCUGCCGCCGCCAUUAGGCCCCUUCCCCUCCCCUCCGGUACAGCCUUGUGUCCGCCUAGAGGAGGCCCAGGCAUGGCAGUGAGGAAGUGGCCGAGUUUGCUCACCGCGAUCGGACCAGCUCCGACCUCAGCCGGCCCACACUGCAACCAGCGGCUCCGGCACACGGGACUGCCCCGCCGAUCGACCCAGCACGCCACAAUGGUCGUUUCCUCUCUCUCCAGGAGCUGUAGACCAGGCCAGACCACGGCCGGUGCUCGCUUACCAGACAAAUACCGGAGCCGUGCAAUCCCCCUCCCCUAAACCCACCGUCACCCCACCCCUCCCCUCGCGGGGGUGUCCAGAGUAGGGCCCUCUGCCGCCUCCCCGCGCCCCCUCCCUCGUCCUGGCCCCCACGAGACAAACCCAGCAGACCGCUUCAAUUUUAAAAAAUGUUUUUUACCUCAGGAAUGGGCGCCAAAGGUGCAGUGGCGGUGACCCGACCGGGCCCGGGCAGGCCGGUGCCCAGCAGCGGCCCUCCCUCCCCCCGCGGGGGCUGUAAGGGGCUGUGGGGCCCGCGGAGGGGAGGGGGCUGGGACUGUGUUGGGGUCGGGCGUGUUUUGUUGUGUGUGCCGUGCCCUGUGACAGGUCAGAGUUCGUGACCCCACGGCCGCCGCCCGGUAGCGCGUCCCCGCUUCCUCUUCCAGCGCCAGCCCGGCCGCGGCCCCUCCAUCCCCCGCGGGGCGGGGCCGGCGGCGGGGAGGGGCUACCGGGCUACCUGGGCCUCCCGGGCCUGCCGAGCCCUGCACCGCUCCGGCCGGGCCGGCAGGAGCCUGGCCUUCGGGGCAGUGAGGGGAAGGUACGUUCACCGCCUUUGUCCCUUUCGCUCGGGAGGCUCCUCAGGAGCCGGAAGCCCGAGGUAGCGGGUUGGCGGUGGCUGUCCAGUGCGGUGAUGGUAUUGAUGUUCCAGGUGUAUCUUGGUUCUCGCUGACGAUGCAGUCAAAGGUGGGCUUGCAAUUGAGCAAGCUCUCACAAACGCUGCCGCCAGAUUGUCGGGUUUUUAUUUAAUUUUGUAAAGUCAAUGUCAUUGAUUAGGGCUCUUACGGCAAAGCUGGCUGUAAGUGAGGUAUGUUGUGCCUUCAAACACACAAUGAUAGGCAUGAAACAAGUUUUGGGGGUGUACCUGAGGUGGUUUAAGAGUUUACCACCUUUCAAUGCUUGUCUUCUUAUAGGCUAUCAGAUAAGUUAUGGCAGGGUAUAUGGGCUAUCAGAUAGUUAUGACAGGGGCUAUCGCAGCCCUGUCAUAACUAGCUAUCUCUUAACCUACUUGUAUCAAAAUGUUCUUAAUGCUUCUAGUAGGUUUCCCUUGACUCUAACAAUUUUUACAGAAGCUAAUUUAAGGAGCAGUUAGAUGAAUAAGAUAACACCUGAAAGAAAACACAUGGAAGAGAUAGCAGUUAAAUGCAGCAAUCACAGAAACAAGAGGUGAAUAGUCAACAGCAGUAUGUAUGCUGAUUUUUUUUUUUUUUUAAUUUUUCUUUGGAAGUUUUUUGUAGUUUUUUCUUAGAACUGGCUCCUUGGGGUAAGGGUAUGAUUAACGUACUAGACCCACAAAUUGCAGCUUUACUUUCACAGACCAGGAAUUAGUAAAGCAUGUGAUGUGCAGAUAUGUUUGCAAUACACAAAUAAAGGAAAAUGUGUCAAAAA